rnacentral:rRNA from 1 species
GUGGGGAAUAUUGGACAAUGGGCGCAAGCCUGAUCCAGCCAUGCCGCGUGAGUGAUGAAGGCCCUAGGGUUGUAAAGCUCUUUCACCGGAGAAGAUAAUGACGGUAUCCGGAGAAGAAGCCCCGGCUAACUUCGUGCCAGCAGCCGCGGUAAUACGAAGGGGGCUAGCGUUGUUCGGAAUUACUGGGCGUAAAGUGCACGUAGGCGGACAUUUAAGUCAGGGGUGAAAUCCCGGAGCUCAACUCCGGAACUGCCUUUGAUACUGGGUACCUAGAGUAUGGAAGAGGUAAGUGGAAUUCCGAGUGUAGAGGUGAAAUUCGUAGAUAUUCGGAGGAACACCAGUGGCGAAGGCGGCUUCCUGGACAGUAACUGACGCUGAGACGCGAAAGCGUGGGGAGCAAACAGGAUUAGAAACCCUGGUAGUCC